rnacentral:rRNA from 1 species
CGAUAGCGUAUAUUAAAGUUGUUGCGGUUAAAAAGCUCGUAGUUGGAUCUCGGCAGGCAGGGGGUGGUUCGCUCUUAGCGCUACUGCCCCAUUUGCCUGUGUGAUUGGCGGAGGUUUCGGGGUGCUCUUCGUUGAGUGACCCGGGGCGCCGUCAGGUUUACUUUGAAAAAAUUAGAGUGCUCAAAGCAGGCUUUUCACGCUUGAAUAUUCGUGCAUGGAAUAAUGGAAUAGGAACUCGUUUCUAUUUUGUUGGUUUUCGGAAAUCGAGUUAAUGAUUAAUAGGGACAAUUGGGGGCAUUAGUAUUCAGACGACAGAGGUGAAAUUCUUGGACCGUCUGAAGACUAACUACUGCGAAAGCAUUUGCCAAGAGUGUUUUCAUUAA